GUGGAGCACGCCGCGUGUGUGAUGAAGGCUUUCGGGUCGUAAAGCACUGUUGUAUGGGAAGAACGGGUUUAAGAGGAAAUGCUUAGACAGUGACGGUACCAUACCAGAAAGGGACGGCUAAAUACGUGCCAGCAGCCGCGGUAAUACGUAUGUCCCGAGCGUUAUCCGGAUUUAUUGGGCGUAAAGCGAGCGCAGACGGUUGCUUAAGUCUGAAGUGAAAGCCCACAGCUCAACUGUGGAAUGGCUUUGGAAACUGGGCAACUUGAGUACAGUAGAGGUAAGUGGAACUCCAUGUGUAGCGGUGGAAUGCGUAGAUAUAUGGAAGAACACCAGUGGCGAAGGCGGCUUACUGGACUGCAACUGACGUUGAGGCUCGAAAGUGUGGGUAGCAAACAGGAUUAGAUACCCUGGUAGUCCACACCGUAAACGAUGGAUACUAGUUGUUAGAGGGUUUCCGCCCUUUAGUGACGAAGCAAACGCAUUAAGUAUCCCGCCUGGGGAGUACGACCGCAAGGUUGAAACUCAAAGGAAUUGACGGGGACCCGCACAAGCGGUGGAGCAUGUGGUUUAAUUCGAAGCAACGCGAAGAACCUUACCAGGUCUUGACAUCCUUUGAAGGUACUAGAGAUAGUACUGUCUUCUUCGGAAGCAAAGUGACAGGUGGUGCAUGGCCGUCGUCAGCUCGUGUCGUGAGAUGUUGGGUUAAGUCCCGCAACGAGCGCAACCCUUAUGUUUAGUUGCCAGCAUUCAGUUGGGCACUCUAGACAGACUGCCGGUGACAAACCGGAGGAAGGCGGGGACGACGUCAGGUCAUCAUGCCCCUUAUGACCUGGGCUACACACGUGCUACAAUGGCGUAUACAACGAGCAGCAAACCUGUGAAGGCAAGCGAAUCUCUUAAAGUACGUCUCAGUUCGGAUUGUAGUCUGCAACUCGACUACUUGAAGUCGGAAUCGCUAGUAAUCCCGGAUC
rnacentral:rRNA from 1 species